CAUUUGAGUAAUUCACAACGAGUGUUUUGUAUUAAUUCAACAUAGCGAAGAGAGUUCAUAUAUACACUUGGCGAUUUCUUUCAAGUCCAAUUUAAAUUAGCAAUUUGAUAAAUUCAAAGAAUUUGCCAGAAGUAUAUCGAGAAUUUCGUUACGUUUUCGAAGGGAAAAAGAUUAUUCGCGAUCGCUUUUAAAAUAUUGCCAAAAAUUGUUUUCUUUUAAAUAAUUAUUGAAAUUAUUAAAAUCUACAUUUACGUGUGCCAGGGAGUGUAUGCAUAUUUCUGUUACAAAAGUGAGGUUAUAAAAUCAGGAAAAAACCAGUAUAAAUCACGGCCGAGUUCUUUUAUAAUUGCCUUCACGUUAUUUAAUUUAAAAAAUAUCAAGUGCUUUUUUUUUGAGGUUUUGUCAUCCCUUUGCUUAUUUCACAUAAGAGUGAAAAAAAUUGAAAGAAAAAUCAAAUAGUAACUAAACUGACUAAAGUAGUAAGCAAGUGUGUUUCAUUUAAAGCAACAAAAAGAAGGGGAGAGCAACAUCGGUGCAGUUUGUGUGAAAAUUUUCAUUUGGAUUUUCACAACGCCCAACUCGUUUUAGUCACUCUCAAAUGUGUAUGGCUGUUGUGCUGCUUAGACCUGUUCCUACAUCUAUGGAGUUUCAUCUAGACAGUGCAGAAUACUGCCAGGCACAGCACAAAUAAAAAGGGGAAAAAGUUUGCUUCCGAAUAAAGAGUGGUGGGAGAAAGUCAAAAAGUUUGUGGAAGAGAACGAAAGUGAGACGUCGAAAUUGCAAGUUUAAAUCAUUACAAUAACAACGUUAAGAAGAAGAACAUCGACAAUUAGACGUUGUCUCUGAAGGUUAAGUUAACUAUAAAAAGUACGAAAACGGUGGGCAAGAAUUUGAGUGAGAAGAAAGUGAAAGAAAAAGGCGAAGACGAAUGAAGUAUUUACUUAGAGAGAAGAAAGAAAGAAGAAGGCGAGAAACAGAGGCAAAAAGUUCAAAAGCAUAUCACAACAUAAGCAUCUAAGCAAAGGAAUAUAUUUGGAAAUUUGGCAAUAACAAUAACAACAACAACAACAACAAAUUCAACGAAAUUAUUUCACCAACCAAUUAAGCAGAACAAAGAAAAAACUUCUUGUUUGCUUUGAAGACGAACAGGGAUUUUAUAUGAGGACUUGAAAAGCAAUUUAAAAGCAGGUUAAAAAAAAAAAAAAAAAAAAAAAAAAAAAAACAAUUUGUCUCUUUUUUUUUCUUUCGAAUGAGACGAAAAUAGAAGAUAGAGGGAGAGCGAGAGUGAGAGCGGGAGUAGAAGAGGGAAGAGAGCAAGAGAAACUUAGUAAUAGAAAAUUUGAAAAAACAAAAAUAUU